rnacentral:lncRNA from 1 species
CAAGUGUUCUCUCCCCGUCUCACUAAACAGCAACCAAAAUAGCCCUGUCAGUUCGAAUAGUCAGAGUUUGGUGGUGAAACGAAGUGAGUGCUUCAGUUAACUGAAUUAGAAACCUCUGGUUAGCAUUUUUAAAUAAUAUUUAAAUAAAUCAGGGUUAACAUAUGAAGUGCGCCGUGGGUACUUAACUUGGAUAAACUGGAAUCUGCCAAACCAUCUCGAUUAAUCUGUAUUUAUAUACAGUUAAUCAGGUAAAUACAGUUUGGAAAAGGUUUGUCUUCAGCCAGCUUCUUAAAAAUAUUGGAGUUUACUUCUUACCGACACAGCAACUGCUCCUGCCGCAAGAGCCAGCCUUUGGAUACCCCCUCGGUUUCCUCAGUCACCGCGGAACAGACACAUUACCACGUACUGUAUGUCAUCAGCUGUUUGCCCCUAUUGCAUUUCAAGCCUGAAGUAAAAUCAGAAGAUGACCUAAGAUAUUUCCAUAAUUAUUUUCUUUUAUCACCCCUGAUUCCUCUUCUUCAGUGUUAGACCUGUCACGACCCAUGUGGGUGACAUACAUCGUCCGUCCAUGAGCGGAACGCUAAAUAUCCUGUUACAAUUCCUGGAGGAUGUAUACUCCUUAGUGUGGAUUUCAGAGGCCCUUUACAAGAAAUAUCUAGAAGUCUGAUACCAUGAAGAGGUUCCUGAAUUUACAGAUUGCAACAGACACUUGGUUUAAGGAGUGAGCAAAGCAGAUGUCUGUCUGUCUGUCUGAGAAGUACAUCAUGGUAAGGAAACAAAUGGCAAAUGUAAGAUUUAUUGUUUACCAGCAGUAGCUUUUGGCAGGAGGAAUGAAUCUAUUUACAAUAACAAAUUAAAGGAGCUGUACUGGGUCAGACUCAGCUUACAGCCAGUUUCCAGCAGCUGUCAGUAGGAGAUAUCUGAACAAGAAUGGACAAUAAGAAUAUGAUAAACGCAAUUAAAGCUCCCCCCAAACAACCACCAGGCUAAAACUAUUCCUUUUGUUCAGAGGCCCUUGAUGUGUCUCCUUUGCAUAUUUUUCUAAGAGCUUUUAACCCAUGUAGAUUUUUGAUACCCUGCAAUACCCCCAGUAUUGUGAAGCAGAGAAAAGAUUUCCCUCGUGUCCUCUUCAUACAUGUAUUGAUUUUAUAGCUUUCUGCAGUAAUUGUCUCCCUUGGCUGAGAAACCGACAGUAUUCAGUCACUCCUGCUAUAAGCACAAUCCCUGCUCGCCCUUCUCUGUAUCUUUUCUAAUACCUCUUUUUUAGAAAUUAGAGGACAAGAAGUGAAUUAGAAAUACAGAUUACUUAAACUGCAUGUGCCCGUGGACUUCCACAGGGGACAGUGAUGCUUUCUGCUUUCUUUGUGAACCCUGAGAAUUCCCAGCGUCUGCUCACGCUGUCACCUGAGCAGUGAGUAAUGUUUUCAUGGAC